rnacentral:sRNA from 1 species
GUUUGAUAUCUACACUCAGUAUUGCAACAAUUACCCCAACUCCGUGGCCGCCCUGACGGAAUGCAUGCGGGACAAGCAGCAGGCCAAGUUCUUUCGGGACCGGCAGGAGCUGCUACAGCACUCGCUGCCCUUGGGCUCCUACCUGCUGAAGCCAGUCCAGCGCAUCCUCAAGUACCACCUGCUGCUCCAGGAAAUUGCCAAGCAUUUUGAUGAAGAAGAGGAUGGCUUUGAGGUGGUGGAGGAUGCCAUUGACACCAUGACCUGUGUGGCCUGGUACAUCAACGACAUGAAGAGGAGGCAUGAGCAUGCGGUCCGGCUCCAGGAGAUUCAGUCACUCCUCAUCAACUGGAAGGGGCCUGACCUGACCACCUACGGGGAGCUUGUCCUGGAGGGCACAUUCCGCGUGCAUCGCGUGCGCAAUGAAAGGACCUUUUUCCUCUUUGACAAAACACUGCUUAUCACCAAGAAGCGGGGCGAUCACUUUGUCUACAAGGGCAACAUCCCGGUAACCAGGCCCUGCCCCAUCUCCUCCAUCAUCUUCUCUCCUUCCCAAAGGAUCUGGGCUCCCCUUCUUGUCUGCUUCUUGGGGCUCCAGCACCACCCUUCUGAGAUCACCCUCCCUGCUUCCCCAGGCUGUCAACCUUGUGCUUGACUGUCCUUUCCCUCUGCCCCUAGUGCUCCUCCCUGAUGCUGAUCGAAAGCACCAGAGACUCCCUGUGCUUCACCAUCACCCACUACAAGCACAGCAAGCAGCAGUACAGCAUCCAGGCCAAGACAGUGGAGGAGAAACGGAACUGGACUCACCACAUCAAGAGGCUCAUCCUAGAGAACCACCAUGCCACCAUUCCCCAGAAGGCCAAGGAAGCCAUCUUGGAAAUGGAUUCCUAUUAUCCCAAUCGGUACCGCUGCAGCCCAGAGCGGCUGAAGAAGGCUUGGUCCUCCCAGGAUGAGGUGUCCACCCAUGUGCGCCAGGGGCGCCGGCAAUCUGAGCCAACCAAACACCUGCUCAGGCAACUCAACGAGAAAGGUGAGUGUGUGAGGUGGCCAGCCAUUCCCAGUGAGCGGGGGAGGAGGAGGGGAAGCAGCUGACAACCUGGGGUGUGACCUGAGGGUGGAGGAUUGUCAGAAUAGUGUAGAGGGAACUCUGCCUCCAUUCCCUCCGGAAGAGGGCCUCACCCCUGGCUGGCUGAGGAGAGGGGCUAGAGCUCUCCCCCAUGCACAGGCCUCAUGCCCUUUCCUCCGGAAACAAUGAGAGCCAAGCAACAGGCACAGACCUGCGCUGCUCUGUGGCCCCUGGGCCCCUGCUCUGUCAGUCAUUCUUUUGAAAGCCCAGGAGACUAGGUGAGGGUUCUGGGAGCAGGAGCCCCCAGCGAGGACUUCCCCAGGGGGCUGUCCAGAGGUCUUUUUCCUGCUUACUGAUCUCUUCCCCUCCCCUGCCCCUCGCCCGUGUGCUGGGGGACCCGGUGGUGAUGUCCGCAGCCCGAGCAGCAGGAAUGAAGGGAAAGGGGCGCAGGGAGUCUGAAAGCUCCAGGAGCAGCAGAAGGCCCAGUGGCCGGUCUCCAACCAGUACUGAGAAGCGCAUGAGCUUCGAGUCCAUUUCUUCCCUGCCAGAGGUUGAGCCGGACCCUGAGGCCGGGAGUGAGCAAGAGGUAUUUGCUGCUGUGGAAGGGCCCAGUGCCGAGGAGACGCCUUCAGACACAGAAUCUCCAGAAGUCCUGGAGACACAGCUUGAUGCCCACCAGGGCCUUCUGGGGAUGGACCCCCCGGGUGACAUGGUGGACUUCGUGGCGGCUGAGAGCACUGAGGACCUUAAGGCCCUGAGCAGCGAGGAGGAAGAAGAAAUGGGGGGUGCCACCCAGGAGCCUGAGAGCCUUCUGCCACCCUCCGUGCUGGACCAGGCCAGCGUCAUUGCGGAGCGAUUUGUCAGCAGCUUCUCUCGGCGGAGCAGCGUGGCACAGGAGGACAGCAAGUCCAGUGGCUUUGGGAGCCCGCGGCUGGUCAGCCGGAGCAGCAGCGUGCUCAGCCUGGAGGGCAGCGAGAAGGGCCUGGCCCGGCAUGGCAGUGCCACAGACUCCCUCAGCUGUCAGCUCUCCCCAGAAGUGGACAUCAGUGUGGGGGUGGCCACAGAGGACAGCCCUUCUGUCAAUGGGAUGGAGCCCCCAAGCCCAGGCUGCCCAGUGGAGCCUGACCGGUCUUCCUGCAAGAAGAAGGAAUCAGCACUCUCCACCCGAGACCGGCUGUUGCUAGACAAGAUUAAGAGCUAUUAUGAAAAUGCAGAACACCAUGAUGCAGGCUUCAGCGUCCGUCGCCGGGAGAGCCUCUCCUACAUCCCCAAAGGACUGGUAAGAAACUCCAUCUCCAGGUUCAACAGCCUUCCCCGGCCAGACCCAGAGCCAGUACCUCCAGUGGGGAGCAAGAGACAGGUGGGCUCCCGGCCGACUUCGUGGGCCCUGUUUGAGCUCCCAGGACCAAGCCAGGCAGUCAAAGGGGACCCACCUCCCAUCUCAGAUGCUGAGUUCUGCCCAUCUUCAGAAAUUGUGAAGAUCUGGGAGGGAAUGGAGUCUUCUGGAGGGAGCCCUGGGAAGGGGCCAGGCCAGGGCCAGGCCAAUGGCUUUGACCUGCAUGAGCCACUCUUCAUCCUGGAGGAGCAUGAGCUGGGAGCCAUCACAGAGGAGUCAGCCACUGCCUCCCCGGAAAGCUCCUCUCCCACUGAGGGGCGCAGCCCGGCCCACCUGGCCCGGGAGCUGAAAGAGCUGGUGAAGGAGCUGAGCAGCAGUACCCAGGGGGAGCUGGUGGCCCCACUGCACCCCCGCAUCGUGCAGCUCUCCCACGUAAUGGACAGCCACGUGAGCGAGCGCGUCAAGAACAAGGUCUACCAGCUGGCCCGCCAGUACAGCCUCCGGAUCAAGAGCAACAAGCCAGUGAUGGCCAGGCCACCACUGCAGUGGGAAAAGGUGGCCCUUGAGAGGGAUGGGAAGAGCCCCACUGUGCCCUGUCUACAGGAAGAGGCUGGAGAGCCAUUAGGUGGCAAAGGUAAGAGGAAGCCGGUGCUGUCUCUAUUCGACUAUGAGCAGCUGAUGGCCCAGGAGCACAGCCCUCCCAAGCCCUCCUCGGCUGGGGAGAUGUCACCACAGCGUUUCUUCUUCAACCCGUCUGCUGUCGGCCAGAGGACCACCUCGCCUGGGGGCCGGCCCUCCGCCCGGAGCCCCCUCAGCCCCACAGAGACCUUCAGCUGGCCCGACGUCCGUGAGCUCUGCUCCAAGUAUGCCUCCCGCGAUGAGGUACGCCGAGCAGGGGGCGGCCGGCCCUGUGGCCCACCUGUCAACAGGAGCCACUCGGUGCCGGAGAACAUGGUGGAGCCACCUCUGUCGGGCAGGGUGGGCCGCUGCCGCAGCCUGAGCACCAAGAGGGGCCGGGGAGGCGGAGAGGCUGCCCGAUCCCCUGGGCCUCUGCCCCAGAGCAAGCCGGAUGGAGGCGAGACCCUGUAUGUCACUGCAGACCUCACCCUGGAGGACAACCGGCGGGUGAUUGUCAUGGAGAAGGGACCCCUUCCCAGCCCCACUGCAGGGCUGGAGGAGAGCAGUGGCCAGGGACCAAGCUCACCGGUGGCCCUGCUGGGGCAGGUUAAGGACUUCCAGCAGUCUGCAGAGUGCCAGCCGAAGGAAGAGGGUUCCAGGGACCCGGCAGACCCGAGCCAGCAGGGCAGAGUGAGAAACCUUAGAGAGAAGUUCCAGGCCUUGAACUCUGUCGGUUGAUGCUGACUCCUGGGGGAGGGAGGAGUCAUGUUGGAGGUUGGGGAAGAACCUGGGCAUCCUUCCCCUCAAGCCUGGGCUCAUGGAGCCCCUGCCCAGGGCCCUCAGGUGGGCGGAAAGUCCAUCCCCUCCGCCCUCCAGGAAGGAUGCUCCCGUGUGCAGGGGUCUCCUGCCUGUGCCAUCCACUGGGGCUCGAGACAAUUUCCCACUCACCUGUGAGGCCGGUGUGGCUGCUUCCCUUGUAAAUAGUUGUUCUCUGGUAAGAAGCCAAAUAUUUAAGCUCACUUCUUCCCAGAGAGAGGAAGCUCUGCUCAGGCCUCCAGCGUUGGCUGGCCAUGGCCACAGCCAGAUGGAGGAGCCCACCCCCAGGAGACUCAGGCAGUGGCCUGGAGAGGCUUUGUUCUGUAACGGUGCCUUUUCUUAGGGUCCAGGCAGGAAUGAAGCCAAUAAUUUAUUGCUUUCCAUUCUGUGGUAUGAUGUGCGUGUGCGUGAGUGUGUGGCCCCUGUUUAUUCCCCUCCUGUCAAGAAUGAAGUGGAUUCAGUUCAGGUACUUUUGAGGGUUGUUGUGCUGACCCUGUGGUUGUCGCUGAUGUACACACAUUUCAUUAUUUGCCAAUGGUGCAAUAACCACUGCUGACC